AUACGUAGGGAGCGAGCGUUGUCCGGAAUUACUGGGCGUAAAGGGCGCGUAGGCGGCGCUUCAAGUCGUCUGUCAAAUGGAAGGGCUUAACCCUUUUUCGCAGACGAAACUGGAGGGCUUGAGAAGCAGAGAGGCAAACAGAAUUCCUGGUGUAGCGGUGAAAUGCGUAGAUAUCAGGAAGAAUACCAGUGGCGAAGGCGGUUUGCUGGCUGCAUACUGACGCUGAAGCGCGAAAGCCAGGGGAGCGAACGGGAUUAGAUACCCCGGUAGUCCUGGCAGUAAACGAUGUAUGCUGGGUGUGAGACUAGCGAUAGUUUCGUGCCGAAGUUAACGCGAUAAGCAUACCGCCUGGGGAGUACGGUCGCAAGAUUAAAACUCAAAUGAAUUGACGGGG
rnacentral:rRNA from 1 species